UUCAGCCAAUCAGAAAGCUCCUAAGAUCUAACGGUGCGCUACGGCGAGAUGAGUUUCUGCGCAUCACAGUGCGCAUGAUAUUAGUCUACAGUUGAAAAUUGUGGUGACAGGACGUGUUUCGCCGGCAGAAAAUUAAAUAUGUUUGUGACAAAUUAUCGUAUGUUUGAAAUUCGAAGAUGGAAUGGUCGAAAGUAUAAUAGUUUUACACACACACACACACACACACGAUGAU